rnacentral:rRNA from 1 species
UCCUACGGGAGGCAGCAGUGGGGAAUAUUGGACAAUGGGCGCAAGCCUGAUCCAGCCAUGCCGCGUGAGUGAUGAAGGCCUUAGGGUUGUAAACCUCUUUUAGCAGGGAAGAAGCGAAAGUGACGGUACCUGCAGAAAAAGCGCCGGCUAACUACGUGCCAGCAGCCGCGGUA